rnacentral:rRNA from 1 species
CCUACGGGGUGCAGCAGUGGGGAAUAUUGCACAAUGGGGGAAACCCUGAUGCAGCGACGCCGCGUGAGUGAAGAAGUAUUUCGGUAUGUAAAGCUCUGUCAGCAGGGAAGAAAAUGACGGUACCUGAGCAAGAAGCCCCGGCUAACUACGUGCCAGCAGCCGCGGUAAUACGUAGGGGGCAAGCGUUAUCCGGAUUUACUGGGUGUAAAGGGAGCGUAGACGGCAGGGCAAGUCUGGAGUGAAAGGCGGGGGCUCAACCCCCGGACUGCUCUGGAAACUGCCAGGCUGGAGUGCAGGAGAGGUAAGUGGAAUUCCUAGUGUAGCGGUGAAAUGCGUAGAUAUUAGGAGGAACACCAGUGGCGAAGGCGGCUUACUGGACUGUAACUGACGUUGAGGCUCGAAAGCGUGGGGAGCAAACAGGAUUAGAUACCCUAGUAGUC